AGUAGUUCGACUCCGUGCUCGAGACGACGCUGGCGGCGUGCUUAACACAUGCAAGUCGAACGGAAAGGCCCCUUCGGGGGUGCUCGAGUGGCGAACGGGUGAGUAACACGUGAGUAACCUGCCCUUGACUUCGGGAUAACUCCAGGAAACUGGGGCUAAUACCGGAUAGGAGCUCCUGCUGCAUGGUGGGGGUUGGAAAGCUUCGGCGGUUUUGGAUGGACUCGCGGCUUAUCAGCUUGUUGGUGGGGUAGUGGCUCACCAAGGCUUCGACGGGUAGCCGGCCUGAGAGGGCGACCGGCCACAUUGGGACUGAGAUACGGCCCAGACUCCUACGGGAGGCAGCAGUGGGGAAUAUUGCACAAUGGGGGGAACCCUGAUGCAGCAACGCCGCGUGCGGGAUGACGGCCUUCGGGUUGUAAACCGCUUUCAUCCAUGACGAAGCGUAAGUGACGGUAGUGGGAGAAGAAGCACCGGCUAACUACGUG
rnacentral:rRNA from 1 species